GAUGAACGCUAGCGGCAGGCUUAACACAUGCAAGUCGUGGGGCAGCGCGGACUUCGGUCUGGCGGCGACCGGCAAACGGGUGCGGAACACGUACGCAACCUCCCUCAGAGCGGGAAUAGCCUCUCGAAAGAGAGAUUAAUACCCCAUAGUAUCUUGAAGACACAUGUCUAUGAGAUUAAAGCUUCGGCACUUUGAGAUGGGCGUGCGGCUGAUUAGGUAGUUGGUAGGUAACGGCCUACCAAGCCGACGAUCAGUAGCUGAUGUGAGAGCAUGAUCAGCCACACGGGCACUGAGACACGGGCCCGACUCCUACGGGAGCAGCAGUGAGGAAUAUUGGUCAAUGGAGGAAACUCUGAACCAGCCAUGCCGCGUGGAGGAUG
rnacentral:rRNA from 1 species